GACCUCGGCGCGCUCCCGGCCGCUCGCUGGCUGUGGGGCCGCGGCGGCUCCUCUGCCGGGUCGCGCCGGAGGACGGGCCUUCGGGCGGCGGCUCGGGCGGCCUGCGGACGGACGCGCGGGCCGAGGCGCAGGCCCCGCGCCCGCCGUCUCCCCCUCCCGCCGGGCCCCGGGCCCGCGCCAUGGCCGCCUCGCCGGGCUCCGGCAGCGCCAACCCGCGGAAGUUCAGUGAGAAGAUCGCGCUGCACACGCAGCGGCAGGCCGAGGAGACGCGGGCCUUCGAGCAGCUCAUGACCGACCUCACCCUGUCGCGGGUCCAAUUUCAGAAGCUUCAGCAGCUCCGCCUUACGCAGUACCACGGAGGAUCCUUACCAAACGUGAGCCAGCUGCGGAGCAGCGUGCCAGAGUUCCAGCCGUCCCUGCACCAGGCUGAUAGCGCACGGGGGACCCGCCACCAUGGGCUGGUGGAGAGGCCGGCCAGGACCCGCUUCCACGCGCUCCACCGACGGUCUGGGGACAAGCCGGGACGACAAUUUGAUGGUAGUACUUUCGGAGCCAGUUACUCCUCACAGCCUCUGGAUGAGAGUUGGCCAAGGCAGCCGCAUCCUUGGAAAGAAGAAAAGCACCCUGGGUUCAGGCUGACAUCUGCACUUAACAGGACCAAUUCUGAUUCCGCCCUUCACACGAGUGCCCUGAGCGCCAAGCCCCAGGACCCCUAUGGAGGAGGGGGCCAGUCGGCCUGGCCUGCCCCAUACAUGGGUUUCUGUGAUGGUGAGAACGACGUACACGGGGAAGGGCUAUCUUUCCCUGGCCCGCUGAAAGAAGAGAAUCUGCUAAAUGUUCCCAAGCCUCUGCCAAAACAGCUGUGGGAGGCCAAGGAGAUUCAGUCCCUGUCAGGGCGCCCUCGGUCCUGUGAUGUUGGAAGCGGCAGUGCUUUUCCACACAACGGCCAAAACAUAGGCCUCUCCCCUUUCCUGGGGACCCUGAAUACCGGGGGGUCGCUGCCAGACCUAACCAACCUCCACUAUUCCGCGCCCCUGCCGGCCUCACUGGACACCAGUGACCACAUCUUUGGUAGUAUGAGUGUGGGGAACAGUGUGGGCAACCUGCCAGCCGCCAUGACUCACCUGGGCAUAAGAAGCUCUUCCGGCCUCCAGAGCUCUCGGAGCAACCCCUCCAUCCAGGCCACGCUCAGCAAGACUGCACUUUCAUCCUCCCCGAACAGCCACCCACAGACACCCGCGCCCAGCGCCUCUGCCCUUCACCCUUCCCUCCGGCUCUUUUCCCUCAGCAACCCGUCUCUCUCCACCACGGCCCUGAGCGGCCCCUCUCGGCGGCGGCAGCCCCCGGUCAGCCCCCUCACGCUGUCCCCCGGCCCCGAAGCGCAUCAGGGUUUCAGCAGACAGCUGUCGGCCACCAGCCCACUGAACCCCUAUCCCGCCGCCCAGAUGGUGUCCUCGGAUCGAAGCCCGCUCUCCUUCCUGCCCACAGACGCUCAAACCCAGGUGUCCCCGCCGCCCCCUUACCCUACCCCCCAGGAUCUCCCCCAGCCCCUCCUGCAGCAGCCCCAUGCCCAGGAGCUCCCCGCUCAGCAGCCGCAGGUGGCCUCAUCCCUGCCUCCUUCUGGCUUCCAGCUCCUCUCUGCCCAGGGUUCACCUGUGACCAACUUCUUCCCGGAUGUGAGCUUUGACCAGCAGUCCGUGAGGCCAGGCCCGGCCUUUCCUCAACAGGUGCCCCUGGUGGAACGAGGUCCGCGAGAACAGGACGCGUUUCACUUGAGACCAAACCUGUAUUCCAACUGCGGGAAUUUCCCAAACACCAUCCUGACAGAAGACUCGAGUACCAGCCUGUUCAAAGACCUCAGCAGCGCGCUGGCGGGCAUGCCCGAGGCCAGCCUGCACACGGACACUCCAUUUCCUCUGGAAGAAGAGCUCCAGAUCGAACCCCUGAGCCUGGACGGACUCAACAUGCUAAGUGACUCCAGCAUGGGCCUGCUCGACCCCUCUGUUGAAGAGACGUUUCGGGCUGACCGACUGUGAACAGAACAGACCAGGACCAGAAUUCUUUUCUGAAGGCGCCGAAAUAGGACGGCACGGAAUGGAGCCAGCUACCCCCCCUGCCCACCGGGCUGGAGUCAUCUCGGGCCUCUGACACGGCAGGAGCCAACGCCAUGACUCCUGGCUUUGCGACGAGGUCCCGUCUCCUACGCCGUGGCUUAUUCUAGACCAGAGAGCCAUGCACGGCCUCACCGGCCUGCGGCGAGGGUUAUGCUCUGCAGGCCGGCUGACCUGACCGGGAGCCUCCCAACGACUCGGUCAUCACCGUGCCCGGUGCGUCUUUUUCUCGGCCCUCUAGUCGGUCCAUGUGUACAAGCAGAAAAGAACCCUGUGAUGGGGGCGGCAGUCACCUGGUGCUGUGCCCAGAACCACUGAUGUCAGUCAACACUGAAGAUCGGGCCCGGAGCGGAGGCGGUUGGGGGCCACGGGCCUCCGGGAGCUGGCUCAGCCACGAGCAACGGUACCACAGCACCGCGAGGCCGCCUCCGCCCUCGCGCUUCCGGCCGGGCACCCGCCAGCUGGUGGCGGGCGGUCCCGGGGCACGGCAGACGGCCGUGAUCUCGGAGAUGCCUUAAUUCCAAUAUGAAGAAUUCUUCCCACGAUUUCACGCACAGACCCGAGUUUCGCAAACUGAAUGCUCAUUUGUCUUCUCCAACCUCUGGACCGGGGUGGAGGCCGUGCUGGUUCCAACUGGAUCCUCUGACCGCCGAGUGCACCGAGAGGUCUGUCCAGUGACCACUCAGCCGCGGACGCCAGACACUGCCCACCACACGUCCCUCACGGCCACCUGAACGAAAGAAAAAUACCAAGAGGCUGGAUUCAUUCUUUAAACAUGUUUCCACUGUAGAUGGCAUCUCUUGACAGCCGGUGAUUUGGGACGAGGAAAUGAGCUCAGCCGCUUCCUAUCCCCUUCCCCUCCCAGAAGCUAGUCUGGCUUCCCUCUGGUCUAUGAGCAGCUUGAGGCGAGGACGGUGUCUGACUCAAUUCUGACAACCCGGUGCCCAGUUGAAUGGCACCCAAAGUCAUCCUUUCCAUCUGCAACCUCUCCAGGACAGCCGGUCUCAGUGGAGAGCCCAAGGCCUCUGCUUCCAGGACACAUCUGCAAAUUUGGACAAGAAGGUUCAAAAGCCCCACACUUUGGUAUCCACUGCCAGGGAAAACACUCAGAGCACAGCUGCCCUCACCUGGGAACAUUGGGACAACGGCCUCUUUGAUAGGCUAAGGAAUGGAAACAGGGAGACGACCUGGUAAGUUCAUAUGAGAGGGGUGGGGACGGGGAGAAUAUAAACAAAGAACCCUGGAGCCACAGAAACCUUGGAAGGCCAGUUUGCAAGGUGUCCAAGUAACCGGGAGGCAGUGAUGGCACAAUGGAGGUCUGUCCCAGGGGGAUGAACACCAGAGCCAGGGUUCUGGGGUUGGGAGAGGUAGCUGCAAACUGGGGUUUCCAAACUCUGCCCACCAGCAUCUUGCCGUGACAACCUAGGUUCCAGCUAGCCUAGUUUCCUUAAAAUUCAUCAUCCAAACCUGGACACUUUCUGAGAGGCAAAGCAGACACUAUUCAUAAUUAUGCCAGGACGGGGGUGCCUGGGUGGCUCAGUCGGUUAAGUGUCCGACUUCGGCUCAGGUCAUGAUCUUACAGUUCAUGAGUUCGAGCCCCGCAUCGGGGUCUGUGCUGACAGCUCGGAGCCUGGAGCCUGCUUCAGACGGUGCGUCUCCCUCUCUCUGCCUCUCCUCCUCUUCCUCUCUGUCUGUCUGUCUCUCUCUCAAAAACAAAUAAACAUUAAACAAUUUUUUUAAUAAAAACAAUAAUCGUGCCAGGACAACAGACAUAAUCAGGGACGGCCAACCAAAGAGAGACGUGUGGUCAGCCUGCGUUGCAAGGAACCAGACCUAGAGGCAAUAUUGCUUAGGGGCUGAGCGCAUGGGCUCUGGAAUUAGAGACCUGGGUUCAAACAUGUCUCUGCCCGUCCUGGCUGUGAAGCCAGGGCAAGUCAGUGGCCUCUGUGUGCUUCAGUCUCCUCAUCUAUAAAAUGGGGACGACGAUGCCCACCUCGUGGGCUUGUGCCUGCCCCUAGUAAGUGCUCCCUAAAUGUUAGCUUGUCAUGUUUGCCGUAAUUCUUUUUAAUAAGUCGGCCCUUUAUUACCGGACUUCAGAAACACAGUAAAAGGAUUUGCUGAGACCACCAAGCUCACACUCUGGAAGGAGCACUGAAUAGAAUUUUCUCGGCACGCAGAGGGGUCCUGUCUGAGCCCCCAUCUUCUCUCCCUAAGGAACCGGGGGGACCGGCCAGUCUGGCCAGGGUGCAGGGGUCAUCCUCAGCUCUUUCCCGGUUCCGGAGCCUCAGGACUCACCUCAGAGGAUGCUUAGUCUCCACCUGCUCAAACCCAGGCCUCACUUCACAAACGACCACACAACCCAACGGCAGGCUGAGAGCUGCUUCUCAAAAAGAAAAUAGUUACUUGUGCAAAGACUGCAUGGCUCUGCUCCAAAACUUUAGGGCUUGCUGCCAGCCUCUGACCAUCUCGCUCAUGUCUUUAUUGCCUGCCGGGAGCCCCCCUCUGGAUGUAUUUAUUGCGUUCCCACCAUGUGCUACCAGCCGGUAGACAGGACAGCCUCAAAUCCUGCUGUUGUGGGGGUUUUGACGCCACCGAGAUGGUGACCAAGGCAGAUCUCUACACCGGUCACCUAUUCCCAGCUCCCCGAAGCUCCGGAACAAUCAUCACGGACGUACCACCCAACCUGUACACGGUCCCAUGGUACGGUAAUCGGCUUGAGCUACCAUGACAAAAUACCAUAGACUCCGUGCUGUAAACAACAGAAAUUUAUUUCUUCCAGCUCCGGAGGCUGGAAGUUCAAGAUCAAGGUGCCAGCAAGCAGGAAUGAUGACGUACUGAUACCUACUACAUCCUACUCCGAGACAGAAGUUCCUUGUGGAUAACACCGAAUAUUCUGGAAGAACUUUGCAGUUACUCUGGAUAUCUCAGAAAGCUUCCUGAAUCUUCUCAGCAAACAUAACACAAGGCUAGCUCCCACUCCUCCUCCACCUGGUGCCCCCUUCGCAGUCCCAGCUCCAAGAUGACACCCUAACAGGUUGACAACCCCACCAGAAAAGGGACACCUGCGGUGCUCCCAGUACAUUCUACCAACCGACUGGGUGGAACCACGGGCCCAUCCCUGAACCAAUCACGGAGGCCUAGACAGCGGGAGGUGCUGAUUGGCCAGGAGGAAGUCACGUGACCGCCUCUGGGGCUCCAGGCGUCAGAAGCCAUUCCCACAAUGGCCAGAGCCGCGUGGCCUGUGAGUCGGAAGGGGUGGCUCUCCGAAGGGAUAUCAAGAUGCGGUGAACAGACAGUCCUCCACGGGUGAAAACGACAGAUGUUUACCGCGGAAGCCUCUCAUCUAUGCUCUGCCUUCACCUCUGAGGGGACACAACGUAUCUUUUCCAGGCAUGGGGAGCCUCAACAGAUUUGCCACCGCAUGCAGUCUGUGCAGAUAAGAUCUUCACCGUCUCCACCAGGAGCACAGCCUACCGCACACGGAUACGGUGUGGAACAUUCCUUACACCUUUUGGCCCAGACAGCUUUGUUGAGCCUGGUGUCCAUGUGCACAUCUGGAGUUUCCAUCUCCCUCCUGGAAAAUUUCUGGAUCUCUUUGAGUACCCGAGGGGCACGCUUCUUGAACUCCACUCCAUGGAUGUGCUCGUGAAUGUUGAUGAUGUGUUCUCUGGUCAGUACCUCGGUGAUGGCAGAAUGGCCCGUCUCCUUCUCACCACCCUGCUAUGCAGGAGCCAUUCUGCUGGGCCCAGGGUUGGAAAGGAACUAUCCAAGUUACUCUUCUCCUGAAAACCUUCUAUAGUAAGUUAAACAACAAGGAGAUACCAUUAAACACCCUGCAGAAUGGCUAAAAUGAAAAGGAUUGGCCAUUUCAAUGUUGAUGAAGAUACAGAUAAUGGGACACUUACACGGUGUUAGUGGUAGUAUAAAAUGAUACACCCGCUUUGGAAACAUGUUUCUACCAAAGUUAAAUAUACGCUUACCCUUAUGGCCCAGAAACCCUAUUCCUAGAUACUGUUUACCCCCCAAGAAGUGAUGCAUACGAUCACAAAAGACUUAUGUAAAAACAUCCACAGCAGUUUUAUUUAUGAUCGCCAAAGGGAAAAAACUCAAAUGUCCAUCAUUAGAUGAAUGGAUAAAUAAAUUGUAGCGUGCUCAUACAACUGCAUACUGUUGAUAAAAGAAUGGUUUUUAAAAUCAAGUAUAAUCAUGACUCUUCUAAAGACAUAAACACAUGUCAAAGGUUU